rnacentral:rRNA from 1 species
GAUGAACGCUGGCGGCGUGCCUAACACAUGCAAGUCGAACGAAGCCUUCGGGCUUAGUGGCGGACGGGUGAGUAACACGUUGGUACCUGCCUCGAAGUGGGGAAUAACUGGCCGAAAGGUCGGCUAAUACCGCAUGUGAUCGCAAGAUCAAAGUCGUAAGACGCUUCGAGAGGGGCCUGCGUCCCAUUAGCUAGUUGGUAGGGUAAUGGCCUACCAAGGCGACGAUGGGUAGCUGGAUCGAGAGGUUGACCAGCCACACUGGGACUGAGAUACGGCCCAGACUCCUACGGGAGGCAGCAGUAAGGAAUCUUCCACAAUGGACGAAAGUCUGAUGGAGCAACGCCGCGUGCAGGAUGACGGCCUUCGGGUUGUAAACUGCUUUUAUAUGGGAAGUUUAUGACGGUACCAUAUGAAUAAGGACCGGCUAACUACGUGCCAGCAGCCGCAGUAA